rnacentral:rRNA from 1 species
GAUGAACGCUGGCGGCGUGCCUAAUACAUGCAAGUCGAGCGAACAGAUAGGGAGCUUGCUCCUUUGACGUUAGCGGCGGACGGGUGAGUAACACGUGGAUAACCUACCUAUAAGACUGGGAUAACUCCGGGAAACCGGUGCUAAUACCGGAUAACAUAUAGAACCGCAGGGUUCUAAAGUGAAAGAUGGUUUUGCUGUCACUUAGAGAUGGACCCGCGCCGUAUUAGCGAGUUGGUAAGGUAACGGCUUACCAAGGCAACGAUGCGUAGCCGACCUGAGAGGGUGGUCGGCCACACUGGAACUGAGACACGGUCCAGACUCCUACGGGAGGCAGCAGUGGGGACUAUUCGACGAUGGGCGAAAGCCUGAUGCAGCAAUGCCGCGUGGGUGAAGAAGGCCUUCGGGUCGUAAAGCUCUUUUGUUAGGGAAGAAAAACUGCGUGUUAAAACCUGGCCGUCAUGACGGUACCUAAAGAGUAAGCACCGGCUAACUUCGUG